rnacentral:rRNA from 1 species
ACGGGUGAGUAAUGCUUAUCUUACCUGCCAUUUAGUGGGGGAUAAAAUUCCGCAUAUUAUGAGUAAUCAUGAAAGGGCUUUCGGGCUCGCUAAUUGAUGGGGAUAAGUCGUAUUAGUUAGUUGGUGGGGUAAUGGCCUACCAAGACAAUGAUGCGUAGCCAGUCUGAGAGGAUGAAUGGCCACAAGGGAACUGAGACACGGUCCCUACUCCUACGGGAGGCAGCAGUGAGGAAUUUUCGGCAAUGGGGGAAACCCUGACCGAGCAAUACUACGUGAGGGAGGAAGGUCUAUGGAUUGUAAACCUCUUUACUAAAGGGUACUGACGAAAGAAUUGCCCUUUAGCAACAAGUCACGACUAACUACGUGCCAGCAGUCGCGGUAAGACGUAGGUGGCGAACGUUAUCCGGAAUUAUUGGGCGUAAAGGAUGCGUAGAUGGCAGAACAAGUUAUCAGCGAAAGCGAGGCCUAACCUCGCGGAAGUUGGUAAUACUAUUUUGCUAGAGUGCAGGAGAGGUUAACGGAAUUCCAUGUGGAGCGGUAAAAUGCAGAGAUAUAUGGGAGAACACCAAUAAUGGCGAAGGCAGUUAACUAUUCUGUUACUGACAUUGAGAGCAUGAAAGCGUGGGGAGCAAAACGGAUUAGAUACCCGUGUAGUCCACGCCCUAAACGAUGAGUGCUAGAUGCUGGGAACUUGAUUCUCAGUGUCGCAAGGUAACCCGAUAAGCACUCCGCCUGGGUAGUACGGUCGCAAGGCUAAAACUCAAAGGAAUUGACGGGGACUCGCACAAGCAAUGGAGCAUGUGGUUUAAUCCGAUACAACGCGUAGAACCUUACCAAGACUUGACAUGUUUGGCAAAGUUAGGGAAACCUAACGGAGGUUAUCCGAACACAGGUGCUGCAUGGCCGUCGUCAGUUCGUGCCGUGAGGUGUAUGGUUAAGUCCUAUAACGAACGUAACCCUUGGGCUUAGUUACCAGCGGGUAAAGCCGGGAACUCUAAGCCGACUGCCUGAGUAAUCAGGAGGAAGGAAAGGAUGACGUCUGGUCGUC